rnacentral:lncRNA from 1 species
GGGUAAUUAGGAUUUCUAAGAUUUUCAUCAAUCUAUUAGUUGUAUUGAAGUGAAAUAUAUAUGUAAAGGUAGUAGACUUGAUUUUCUACACAUUUGUGAAAUUUUAAAAUAAUAAAAUGGUUUAAAAAGGAGAUAUUGGUACUUAAAAUUAAACAUUUAGAUUGGAAUAGGAGGCUAGCCAAUACCUAAGUAGAUUUUAGGAUAUUUCUUCUAUUUGGUAAGUGUAAAUAUUUUUAAAUUUUGUAUACUUUUUGCUAAAUUAAUUGUUUAAAAGUGUAUAAAAUCUUAAGCAAGAUCAAUGAUUUCAUUGAUAGAUAUUGAGGUUUUAAACUAUACUAGGGUGAAGUUGAGUUAGUUAAGGUUUAAGUAGGAUUUAGGAUUGGAUUAGGAUUUAGAGUUUGAUUUAGGAUUUUGGAUUUAGGAUUUAGGAUUUGGCUUAAGAUUUAGGAUUUAGAAUAUACUUAAGAUUUAGGAUUUGAUUUAGGAUUUAAGAUUUAAUAUUUGAUUAAGGUUUAGGAUUUACUUAGGAUUUAGAAUUCGGCCUAGGAUUUGAUUGAAGUCCAUUAGGAUUUCAACUAGAAUUAAAUUGGGACUUGAUUGAGAUUUAUUUAAGAUAUAUUUGUCAUUAUUCUAAUAUUUUUUAAGGAUUUUUCAAGGAUUUUUUAAAAUUUUAUUGUAAAUUUUUUUUGAACUCCUUUAAGAUUUUUUAUUGUUUCUUUUGUAAUU